AUGGCGCCCGAGGAGAACCGGGGACCGAACUCUUGCUGCAGAGUUUCGAGCGCCGCUUCCUGGCGGGCCGCACUGCGCUCCUUCCCUGGUAG
rnacentral:sRNA from 1 species